CGCACUCUGGCACAACCAGAGACAGUACAUGCCUAUGCGAUAGCAGUUUGGUAUCUUCAACAAUGCGUGUGACAUGGAUCAAAAUCGCAAGGGGAGAAAAGAAAUAGCAUCUCACACUUCAAGGUUACGACUGUUAAGUGCGCGGUGAAGAGUCCGGAUACCCUGAUAUCUGGAUUGAUAUGUUCUCGUUUCAGUUGAACUUUGUCUGCGUCAAGAACGACAACGGCAACGUUAUUAGGUAACUCGUAAACUGAAGACUAUAUCUGCAGUCUAAUGCUGACCAUCGAAGGGCCUAGCUGCUUAAGUCGGGAAUCGGCAGGAAAGAUGAGCUAGCCGAAUUCCUCAGUCUGGAAACAACCGUUCAGUAGAGCAGACGUACGAGAAUCGCGCUCCGCAAAUUUCGAGUACCUGGUUGUCUAUCUCCUGGAUCCUACGUUCCGGGGCCACUUUCUAGUGAAACUUGACUUCCAGGGCAAGCGCUUCGUGGUUCCUGCGCUCGAAGUCCGCUACCUGGUGGACAAGGAUUUCUGCACAUAUUCGAAGUAUAACCCAAGGUGGUUAUCAGUGGUUGUUGGUGGUGGUUAUAGGUGGUUGGAGGUGGUCGUAGGUGGACGAGGAGGA